GCCCGCAUCCUUGAAUCAAAUCAUUUGACCGGAACAAACUAUAAAGACUGGCUAAGAAAUCUCAGGAUUGUCCUGAUUUCUAAAAAACUAGAUCAUGUACUCGAUCAAAAAUUUCUAAUGUUACCAAAUCAUCCUACUGCUAAGCAAAGAGCUGCUUAUGAAAAGUGGAUGGAUGAAGACAGUCGAAUCAAGUGCUAUG
rnacentral:lncRNA from 1 species